rnacentral:rRNA from 1 species
AUUGAACGCUGGCGGCAGGCCUAACACAUGCAAGUCGAGCGGAGCGGCGGACGGGUGCGUGAUACCUAGGAAUCUGCCUGGUCGUGGGGGAUAACGUCCGGAAACGGGCGCUAAUACCACAUACUCUCAGAUGAGCCUAGGUCGGAUUAGCUAGUUGGGGGGGUAAAGGCCUACCAAGGCGACGAUCCGUAACUGGUCUGAGAGGAUGAUCAGUCCCACUGGAACUGAGACACGGUCCAGACUCCUACGGGAGGCAGCAGUGGGGAAUAUUGGACAAUGGGCGAAAGCCUGAUGCAGCCAUGCCGCGUGUGUGAAGAAGGUCUUCGGAUUGUAAAGCACUUUAAGUUGGGAGGCGUUACCAACAGAAUAAGCACCGGCUAACUCCGUGCCAGCAGCCGCGGUAAUAC